AGGUUACUGCUAUCGGUGUUCGCCUAAGCCAUGCGAGUCAUAUGUUCGUAAGAACAUGGCGUACUGCUCAGUAACACGUGGAUAACCUGCCCUUGGGUCCGGCAUAACCCCGGGAAACUGGGGAUAAUUCCGGAUAACGCACAUAUGCUGGAAUGCUUUAUGCGUAAAAUGGAUUCGUCUGCCCAAGGAUGGGUCUGCGGCCUAUCAGGUAGUAGUGGGUGUAAUGUACCUACUAGCCUACGACGGGUACGGGUUGUGAGAGCAAGAGCCCGGAGAUGGAUUCUGAGACAUGAAUCCAGGCCCUACGGGGCGCAGCAGGCGCGAAAACUUUACAAUGCGGGAAACCGUGAUAAGGGGACACCGAGUGCCAGCAUCCUAUGCUGGCUGUCCGGGUGUGUAAAAUACACCUGUUAGCAAGGGCCGGGCAAGACCGGUGCCAGCCGCCGCGGUAACACCGGCGGCCCGAGUGGUGAUCGUGAUUAUUGGGUCUAAAGGGUCCGUAGCCGGUUUGGUCAGUCCUCCGGGAAAUCUGACAGCUUAACUGUUAGGCUUUCGGAGGAUACUGCCAGACUUGGAACCGGGAGAGGUAAGAGGUACCACAGGGGUAGGAGUGAAAUCUUGUAAUCCCUGUGGGACCACCUGUGGCGAAAGCGUCUUACCAGAACGGGUUCGACGGUGAGGGACGAAAGCUGGGGGCACGAACCGGAUUAGAUACCCGGGUAGUCCCAGCCGUAAACGAUGCUCGCUAGGUGUCAGCAUGGCGCGACCGUGUCUGGUGCCGCAGGAAGCCGUGAAGCGAGCCACCUGGGAAGUACGGCCGCA
rnacentral:rRNA from 1 species